AUGGGUGGCAAUAGCUAUGACCCUCUAGUCAUUGAGGAUUUUGAUUGGGGCAAUGAGUGGGUUGACCCAACAAUACCUCCACCCCAAGGUGCUCGAGGGUGUCCCGAUGACAUUUCAUGGGAGCUUGUUGAUGAGGCUGUUGGUGCAAGUUCGUCGCUGCAAGGUCGCAACUUUCCUAGAGCUAGCACCAUGGCAAGGGGGGCCUCAAAUGUUAAUGUCCAGUACCAAAGGCAGCGCAAAAGGGCUGCUCCGUCACCAACAUUUCUUCAUGAAGAUGACGAAGAGGAUGACCAAGAACAACAAUCAAGUAUCCCCAAUGGAGAGGAUGAUGAUUCAGACUUUCUUCAAGAUGAUGUUGAUGUGACCGAUGAUGAUGAAGAUCCAACUAGUGCUGACCAAGAUGGCGAAGACAACAGAAAUACUAUCAUGGAUGAGUUCGAUGAUGGCUAUUGA
rnacentral:rRNA from 1 species